GAUGAACGCUGGCGGCGUGCCUAAUACAUGCAAGUCGAGCGAACGGGCGAGAAGCUUGCUUCUCUGAUGUUAGCGGCGGACGGGUGAGUAACACGUGGAUAACCUACCUAUAAGACUGGGAUAACUUCGGGAAACCGGAGCUAAUACCGGCUGAUAUUUUGAACCGCUUGGUUCAAAAGUGAUAGACGGUCUUGCUGUCACUUAUAGAUGGUUCCGCGCUGCAUUAGCUAGUUGGUAAGGUAACGACUUACCAAGGCAACGAUGCAUAGCUGACCUGAGAGGAUGAUCAGCCACACUGGAACUGAGACACGGUCCAGACUCCUACGGGAGGCAGCAGUAGGGAAUCUUCCGCAAUGGGCGAAAGCCUGACGGAGCAACACCGCGUGAGUGAUGAAGGUCUUCGGGUCGUAAAGCUCUGUUAUUAGGGAAGAAAAGAUGUGGAAGUAACUGUGCACAUCUUGACGGUACCUAAUCAGAAAGCCACGGCUAACUACGUG
rnacentral:rRNA from 1 species